CUCACUUGAAGAGAAGAUCAAGGACAAAAAUAAUAUUCUGGUGAGCCAUUUCGGCUCUCAUACACUUCGUAUAUAAUGGCACCUCAAGCCACGGAGAGAGAGAGAGAGAGAGAGAGAGAGAGAGAGAGAGAGAGAGAGAGAGAGAGAGAGAGAGAGAGAGAACGAACAACAACAACAUAAAAGAUAACAAGAAAUAACAAACAACCUAACUCAACCAUCUCUCACUUUCACUCUCCCUCUCCCUCCCAUCCCCUCCCUCUCCCUCUCCCUCUCUCCCAUUCCUUAACUACCUAACCACACUGGCCAUCAUAGCUCACAUCCUGCGCUUCUUACCCCAGUGCCCUCUCUCACUCUCACUUUCUCACUCUCUCUCAGUCCCGUCUUAAACUUUACUCGUGUCGCAUCUCCACCAGUCAGUCAGUCAGUCAGUUAGCCAGUCAACCAGCCAGUAAACCAGUUAGCCAGUCAAUCAGUAAUCCGAUACGCAUGCACACACGCACGCACGCACGCACGCACGCACGCAAAGUGUUAGUUAUUACGUGUGGAAAGAGUAUUGCGUGUUCUACUACUACUUCUACUACUACUAUUACUACUACUGCCGUGAAGAACAAAUAUUGUGUCUGGCUCUCCUCGGCUUGGUGCGGGUGUCGUCACGCUGCCUCACUGCUACACGCAAACCCUCAGUGAGCCAAGGCGCUGCAGGUCUGCUUGCUGCCUUAGUUACUAAAGGAGCACACGCAUCCAGACAACUCAUAAAAUUAGUAUUAAAAUAUCAAGUUGUAGAUGAACGUGGCCUGUGGUCAGUAUUUGAUAAAAAUGAUGGGGUUCUGGCAGGAGUAGCUCACAAAGCGUCCUUGUUAUAUUUACCAAGGUGACGAAAAGAUUUUAGUUCAUGCUCUCUCCGUCUUCUUGAUAUUUAUUGUAAUGCCAAUUAGGUCAUGAUCAGGUGCUGGCCCGGGAACAACAGAGGUGGCCAAAACACUUUCUGGUUUAUUAGUGAUGAUCACAUCCAGCACUGUGGCUGUGGUUGACGUCAUCCUAGUGGGCUCAUUUAUCAUUGGUGUGAGUCUGCUAUUUCUGAUAAUACCAUCAAUUUUGUUUUUCUUAGAAAAUAAACCAUCAUUAAAAUCACAUCAACAUAUAAAGCCAUUUGUUACAUACAGACAUUUGUUUCAACACAUCUUGGACAUAUUCAGAAGAGGAAGGUGUGGCCUUGGGGUGUCUUUAAACACAACCUAUAAUAAAAGCUGGCAACUUACUGCACUGUACACUCGUCCAUAAGUCCUGGACACGGGGUUGCUUAGGAGUAGGUAGUUUUAUCACACUUACCUUCAGUUGCUUGCUUACAUAUAUGCAGACUCCUCCUCCACGUCCACCAUCACACCUGUGUGUUGUAAAGUUAAAUGUUCAUCAGGAAUUUCAUUACGAAGCCACGUCUCGGUAACACAACAAAUCGAUAUUUCUUUCAUUUACAAGAUGGUUAAUGUCAUCGGCAGCAUCUUCCCCGCCACAUCCCUAGCCGCUGUAGUAACUAGAUUGGCGAGAUUUGUGUCCAAGUGUAUGGCAUCCUUCACACCUCAGCCUGUGGUCGUAUCUACACGUCAACUGUUUGAGGUUGAAUUCACCGAUAUUGUGGCAUCCUGGUUUCUUCUGAUUAUGCUGCUGCAUAUUUGUGGAUGUAAAGAUUCUUCGGCAGUGUGUGCUGUGCGUAUUGUGUAGUGAAAAUGUUGCUUCGGAGUGUGUUUCCCUGAGUGUAU